UACGUAGGGUGCAAGCGUUGUCCGGAAUUACUGGGUGUAAAGGGUCCGCAGGCGGGUAAGCAAGUCGGUGGUGAAAUCCUGCAGCUCAACUGCAGAACUGCCUCCGAUACUGUUUAUCUUGAGUACGAGAGAGGAUGAUGGAAUUCAUGGUGUAGCGGUGAAAUGCGUAGAGAUCAUGAAGAACACCGGUUGCGAAGGCGAUCAUCUGGCUCGUUACUGACGCUCAGGGACGAAAGCGUGGGGAGCAAACAGG
rnacentral:rRNA from 1 species